UACGAAGGGGGCUAGCGUUGUUCGGAAUUACUGGGCGUAAAGGGCGCUUAGGCGGCCCUGUCAGUCAAGCGUGAAAGCCCCGGGCUCAACCUGGGAAUUGCGCCUGAUACUGCAGGGCUUGAGGGUCGGAGAGGAUGGUGGAAUUCCCAGUGUAGAGGUGAAAUUCGUAGAUAUUGGGAAGAACACCGGUGGCGAAGGCGGCCAUCGGGACGACAUCUGACGAUGAGGCGCGAAAGCGUGGGGAGCAAACAGG
rnacentral:rRNA from 1 species